rnacentral:rRNA from 1 species
UACGGGGGGGGCAAGCGUUGUUCGGAAUUACUGGGCGUAAAGGGUUCGUAGGCGGCCAACUAAGUCAGACGUGAAAUCCCUCGGCUUAACCGGGGAACUGCCUCUGAUACUGGAUGGCUUGAGAUUGGGAGAGGGAUGCGGAAUUCCAGGUGUAGCGGUGAAAUGCGUAGAUAUCUGGAGGAACACCGGUGGCGAAGGCGGCAUCCUGGACCAACACUGACGCUGAGGAGCGAAAGCCAGGGGAGCAAACGGG